rnacentral:tRNA from 1 species
CUCCUUGUAGCUUAGCGGUAGAGUACUGAUGCGUAAAACCAGGGGGCCGGGUUCAAUUCCCGGCGAGGUAG